UCGUCCUCGGACGCAUCCGGUG
rnacentral:snRNA from 1 species